rnacentral:rRNA from 1 species
GACGAACGCUGGCGGCGCGCCUAACACAUGCAAGUCGAACGAGAGAUGAGGAGCUUGCUCUUCAAAUCGAGUGGCGAACGGGUGAGUAACGCGUGAGGAACCUGCCUCAAAGAGGGGGACAACAGUUGGAAACGACUGCUAAUACCGCAUAAGCCCACGGCUCGGCAUCGAGCAGGGGGAAAAGGAGCAAUCCGCUUUGAGAUGGCCUCGCGUCCGAUUAGCUAGUUGGUGAGGUAACGGCCCACCAAGGCGACGAUCGGUAGCCGGACUGAGAGGUUGAACGGCCACAUUGGGACUGAGACACGGCCCAGACUCCUACGGGAGGCAGCAGUGGGGAAUAUUGCACAAUGGGGGAAACCCUGAUGCAGCGACGCCGCGUGGAGGAAGAAGGUCUUCGGAUUGUAAACUCCUGUUGUUGAGGAAGAUAAUGACGGUACUCAACAAGGAAGUGACGGCUA